GUGGGGAAUAUUGGACAAUGGGCGAAAGCCUGACCCAGCAACGCCGCGUGAAGGAAGAAGGUCUUCGGAUCGUAAACUUCUAUCCUUGGUGAAGAUAAUGACGGUAGCCGAGAAGGAAGCCCCGGCUAACUACGUGCCAGCAGCCGCGGUAAUACGUAGGGUGCAAGCGUUGUCCGGAAUGAUUGGGCGUAAAGGGCGCUUAGGCGGCCUGGUAAGUCUGGAGUGAAAGUUCUGCUUUCAAUGUUGGAAUUGCUUUGGAUACUGUCGGGCGUGAGUGCAAGAGAGGUAAGUGGAAUUCCCGGUGUAGCGGUGAAAUGCGUAGAGAUCGGGAGGAACACCAGUGGCGAAGGCGACUUACUGGACUGUAACUGACGCUGAGGCGCGAAAGUGUGGGGAGCAAACAGGAUUAGAAACCCCUGUAGUCC
rnacentral:rRNA from 1 species